GAGCUCGUAGUGAAGUUUGGCUAUCAUGAUCCGUUUGGGAUCCUGUCGGUACAAAAAUCGGAUUGAUCGGGGGUUCGAAUCCCUCCGAGCUCA
rnacentral:tRNA from 1 species